UGCUACAGGCUUAACACAUGCAAGUCGAGGGGCAGCAUGGUCUUAGCUUGCUAAGACUGAUGGCGACCGGCGCACGGGUGAGUAACACGUAUCCAACCUGCCGUCUACUCUUGGACAGCCUUCUGAAAGGAAGAUUAAUACAAGAUGGCAUCAUGAGUCCGCAUGUUCACAUGAUUAAAGGUAUUCCGGUAGACGAUGGGGAUGCGUUCCAUUAGAUAGUAGGCGGGGUAACGGCCCACCUAGUCUUCCAUGGAUAGGGGUUCUGAAAGGAAGGUCCCCCACAUUGGAACUGAGACACGGUCCAAACUCCUACGGGAGGCAGCAGUGAGGAAUAUUGGUCAAUGGGCGAGAGCCUGAACCAGCCAAGUAGCGUGAAGGAUGACUGCCCUAUGGGUUGUAAACUUCUUUUAUAAAGGAAUAAAGUCGGGUAUGCAUACCCGUUUGCAUGUACUUUAUGAAUAAGGAUCGGCUAACUCCGUGCCAGCAGCCGCGGUAAUACGGAGGAUCCGAGCGUUAUCCGGAUUUAUUGGGUUUAAAGGGAGCGUAGAUGGAUGUUUAAGUCAGUUGUGAAAGUUUGCGGCUCAACCGUAAAAUUGCAGUUGAUACUGGAUAUCUUGAGUGCAGUUGAGGCAGGCGGAAUUCGUGGUGUAGCGGUGAAAUGCUUAGAUAUCACGAAGAACUCCGAUUGCGAAGGCAGCCUGCUAAGCUGCAACUGACAUUGAGGCUCGAAAGUGUGGGUAUCAAACAGGAUUAGAUACCGUGGUAGUCCACACGGUAAACGAUGAAUACUCGCUGUUUGCGAUAUACAGCAAGCGGCCAAGCGAAAGCGUUAAGUAUUCCACGUGGGGAGUACGCCGGCAACGGUGAAACUCAAAGGAAUUGACGGGGGCCCGCACAAGCGGAGGAACAUGUGGUUUAAUUCGAUGAUACGCGAGGAACCUUACCCGGGCUUAAAUUGCAGAUGAAUUACGGUGAAAGCCGUAAGCCGCAAGGCAUCUGUGAAGGUGCUGCAUGGUUGUCGUCAGCUCGCGCCGUGAGGUGUCGGCUUAAGUGCCAUAACGAGCGCAACCCUUGUUGUCAGUUACUAACAGGUUCCGCUGAGGACUCUGACAAGACUGCCAUCGUAAGAUGUGAGGAAGGUGGGGAUGACGUCAAAUCAGCACGGCCCUUACGUCCGGGGCUACACACGUGUUACAAUGGGGGGUACAGAGGGCCGCUACCACGCGAGUGGAUGCCAAUCCCAAAAACCUCUCUCAGUUCGGACUGGAGUCUGCAACCCGACUCCACGAAGCUGGAUUCGCUAGUAAUCGCGCAUCAGCCACGGCGCGGUGAAUACGUUCCCGGGCCUUGUACACACCGCCCGUCAAGCCAUGGGAGCCGGGGGCACCUGAAGUGCGUAACCACGAGGAGCGCCCUAGGGUAAAACUGGUGAC
rnacentral:rRNA from 1 species